CAAGGAAAGUCCACAAGCCUCUCUCUCUCCACCCAGAAGAUUACAGCAUUUAUUCCCUGGGUUACCAUCAGGAAAGAAAGCUCCUUUCUCCUUUGAAGGCUUUUAUAUACACUCAGGUUCUCCCUCGGCAGUCAAGUAAAAGGCAUUUCUACAGCCAAAGGGAAACAAGGGACUGAAGCACUUGUUCCAGGGAUAAGGAGCAAGACCCCACUUGAUAAAUGCUUACUAUACAAUUCACCUCUCAACUUCAGAGCCAACAUGUCUGCACAGGAGGGAAAUAAAAAGGAUGCCUGAGACAAUCCUUCAGAGGAGUGUGUCAAGUUUUUGUUUUCCAUCUUCUGUUCACAUUAUUCCAUCUGCCUGAAUUGAUCUUCCUUACAACCUCGCCCUUCAAAAAUGGGACCCAUCCUCCAAGGUUCAGUCCCAGUGCCAUCUCUGCCAUGAAACCUCCUGUGAUCUCCUAGCCAGAAGUGAGCCCUUAGUCCUUGGAAUGCUCAGAUUACU